CCUACGGGUGGCAGCAGUGGGGAAUAUUGCACAAUGGGCGAAAGCCUGACGCAGCGACGCCGCGUGAGGGAUGAAGGUCUUCGGAUCGUAAACCUCUGUCAGCAGGGAAGAACGGUCACUGUGCUAAUCAGCAGUGAAUUGACGGUACCUGCAAAGGAAGAACCGGCUAACUCCGUGCCAGCCGCCGCGGUAAUACGGAGGGUGCGAGCGUUAAUCGGAAUUACUGGGCGUAAAGCGCUCGUAGGCGGUAUGUCAAGUCAAGGGUGAAAUCCCCGGGCUCAACGUGGGAACUGCCUUUGAAACUGGCAAACUGGAGUGUGUGAGAGGAUAGUGGAAUUCCAGGUGUAGGAGUGAAAUCCGUAGAUAUCUGGAGGAACAUCAGUGGCGAAGGCGACUAUCUGGCACAUAACUGACGCUGAGGAGCGAAAGCGUGGGUAGCAAACAGGAUUAGAUACCCUUGUAGUC
rnacentral:rRNA from 1 species